UACGUAGGGUGCAAGCGUUAAUCGGAAUUACUGGGCGUAAAGCGUGCGCAGGCGGUGAUGUAAGACAGAUGUGAAAUCCCCGGGCUCAACCUGGGAACUGCAUUUGUGACUGCAUCGCUGGAGUACGGCAGAGGGGGAUGGAAUUCCGCGUGUAGCAGUGAAAUGCGUAGAUAUGCGGAGGAACACCGAUGGCGAAGGCAAUCCCCUGGGCCUGUACUGACGCUCAUGCACGGAAGCGUGGGGAGCAAACAGG
rnacentral:rRNA from 1 species